rnacentral:lncRNA from 1 species
GGCGCUUCCUGAACACAUGUCCCACUCGACUGCAGGGAACAAUCUCCAAGCUGCCACCACACAUCCACACUCGAAAAGAGAGCUCAAAAUUUUCUCCUCCCCAGAUGUCCAUCUGAGUAUCAUAUUUUCCCAGGUGGUUAAACCAGGAUUUGUUAAUCACAAAGAUGCCUCCUGCUAUGACAGGGGUUCUUAUAGACUGAGUUGGGUCCGUUCUGGACAUCUUCUGCUCUAUAGGAAUCUGCUCCCACUUAAAGUGAAGGCUCCAG